GCUGCCUUAGCUCAGGGGUAGAGCAUGCGAUUGCAGUAACAGUCAUCGCAGGGUCACUCGUUCGAAUCGGGUAGGUAGCU